rnacentral:misc_RNA from 1 species
GAUGAAGAACGUAGCGAAAUGCGAUAAGUAAUGUGAAUUGCAGAAUUCAGUGAAUCAUCGAAUCUUUGAACGCACAUUGCGCCCGCCAGUAUUCUGGCGGGCAUGCCUGUCCGAGCGUCAUUUCAACCAUCAAGCCCCGGGCUUGUGUUGGGGACCUGCGUCCGACGCAGGCCCUGAAAACCAGUGGCGGGCUCGCUGUCCACACCGAGCGUAGUAACUAACCUCGCUAUGGAGUGGCGCGGUCGCCUGCCGUAAAACCCCCAAUUUCACAAGGUUGACCUCGGAUCAGGUAGGAAUACCCGCUGAACUUAAGCAUAUCAAUAAGCGGAGGA